ensembl:ncRNA F25H8.16 ncRNA
AUGACAAAAUAUAGUAAAAGUGCACACGAGAGACACAUACAAAAAAAAACAAGAAGACCUGGAAAAAAUAAAAUGGCUCAGAGAGUAGAUCAGGAAAGUUAUGUCGUCUGAGAUGAUCUCUUGAGACCA